GACGAACGCUGGCGGCGUGCUUAACACAUGCAAGUCGAACGGUGAAGCGCCUUCCUUUUUGGUGGGUGUGGAUGAGUGGCGAACGGGUGAGUAACACGUGAGUAACCUGCCCCCUUCUUCUGGAUAACCGCAUGAAAGUGUAGCUAAUACGGGAUAAUCUGGGUCUGUCGCAUGAUGGGUCUGGGAAAGAUAUUGUUUCGGUGGGGGAUGGGCUCGCGGCCUAUCAGCUUGUUGGUGGGGUGAUGGCCUACCAAGGCGGUGACGGGUAGCCGGCCUGAGAGGGUGGGCGGUCACACUGGGACGGAGACACGGCGCAGACUCCUGCGGGAGGCAGCAGUGGGGAAUAUUGCACGAUGGGCGGAAGCCUGAUGCAGCGACGCCGCGUGAGGGAUGGAGGCCUUCGGGUUGUGAACCUCUUUCGCCAGUGAAGCAGUCCUGCCUCGUGUGUGGGUGGGUUGACGGUAGCUGGAUAAGAAGCGCCGGCUAACUACGUG
rnacentral:rRNA from 1 species